rnacentral:rRNA from 1 species
GCGUUGUCCGGAAUUAUUGGGCGUAAAGGGCUCGUAGGCGGUCAGUUGCGUCGGGAGUGAAAACUCAGGGCUUAACCCUGAGCCUGCUCUCGAUACGGGCUGACUAGAGGUAGGUAGGGGAGAACGGAAUUCCUGGUGUAGCGGUGGAAUGCGCAGAUAUCAGGAGGAACACCGGUGGCGAAGGCGGUUCUCUGGGCCUUACCUGACGCUGAGGAGCGAAAGCGUG